GACAGCGUGUACCUUCCCUAGUAACCUACUACCUUAGUUACCGGUGCCCCUAAAAUAGACCAAGAUGGAGAAGGCCAGUAUGCCUUGGCUCUCCACGAAUACCCUCCUCCUCCUCAAACACCAAAGCAAAAGUUACAGAAUGCUCGCGCUGAAGUGCUCAAAAGGUGCACGAAAGGCGCUGAAGGCAGCGGUUUUUUUUUCUAAAAAAAGAAGUCAAGUCUGAACACGGCCAAUUUUCGUUGAAAGCGGUGAUAAAGAUGCUGCAAGUAUUACCAAUGAGCUAUUACCCUCAUUGACACGGGAAGACCUAAGAGACCUUAUGCCAGGGCCGGAGAAUUUUCUGAGGAGAAAACACAUUUGGGAAGCUGUCCAUUCAGAGGAAAGCUCAUCCUCUGAACCAGUCACGGAUAACAACAUACCCAAGACACAAGAAGUAACGCCAGAAAAAGUAAUAAAGAUAUGUAGUCCAGAGUAUGUUGUGUACACAGAUGCAGAGCUUGAGCAUGUGCGCAAAUACUACUUUGAACUUCAUCGCAAUGGGCAAGCACAUGAGUGUGUUAUGUCCAAAGAGCUGCGAUGUCGCUUGGUCAGAAAUACUAUUACUUCAAUGAUUUCAAUUGUACGAGGCUAUGACAUGAAGGAAAGAAGAGAUUGGGGAGAGUAUCCCUCCCGUG
ensembl:lncRNA